rnacentral:rRNA from 1 species
AUUGAACGCUGGCGGCAUGCCUUACACAUGCAAGUCGAACGGUAACGGGCCUUCGGGUGCCGACGAGUGGCGAACGGGUGAGUAAUGUAUCGGAACGUACCAUUGAGUGGGGGAUAACGCAGCGAAAGUUACGCUAAUACCGCAUAUUCUCUCCGGAGGAAAGCAGGGGACCGCAAGGCCUUGCGCUCUUUGAGCGGCCGAUAUCAGAUUAGCUAGUUGGUGGGGUAAAAGCUCACCAAGGCGACGACCUGUAGCGGGUCUGAGAGGAUGAUCCGCCACACUGGAACUGAGACACGGUCCAGACUCCUACGGGAGGCAGCAGUGGGGAAUUUUGGACAAUGGGGGCAACCCUGAUCCAGCCAUGCCGCGUGGGUGAAGAAGGCCUUCGGGUUGUAAAGCUCUUUCAGCCGGGAAGAAAUCGCAUGGGCUAAUACCCCGUGCGGAUGACGGUACCGGAAUAAGAAGCACCGGCUAACUACGUGCCAGCCGCCGCAGUAACAC